rnacentral:tRNA from 1 species
UGCGGGGUAGAGCAGUUGGCAGCUCGGCGGUCUCAUGCGCCGCAGGUCGAUGGUUCGAGUCCAUCUCCCGCAACCA